UAAUUUAUUAGAUGGUGACUGGAUGUUUUUCUCUCUCCAGGCCUUUGUGAGAAAAACACCCAAAUGCCACAAGUGCAUCCCCAGGGAGCUGCAGGGUGGCAGGAGCUGAGGAUGCAAAAACAUAAUUGCCUUCUAUCUACUCUGAUUUGAGCUUCAUCAAAUCCUUUGGCUCCCAAGGGGGCCUGGUCUGCUUGGUGAGACCUCAGCAGCUUUGGAACCUGCUUUUCUAGAGACCUCUCCAGAAUCUCCUGGCCAGGUUCAACCUCCACCAUUACUGUGCAUUGUCCAAAUCUUCCUUGCACUUAGCACCCCGGCGCAUGUGUGUGUGAUCACAGGCCAGCCAGUGAGUGUGCACUUGGAAAGUUCACUCAUCCUUAAAUCCGUGAGGCCCAGAACAAAAACAAUCAGAUGUUCUGAAAAGUAUGAGUGUUAAAUACUGAAGUAUCUCCUUGUUAAAAUAUUCUUCUUGAUCUGUCUCUCAUUACCUGUCAUGGUCUCUUGAAAAGAAUCUUCUAAACCUGCAUCUUAAAAUUACCUUUGGGGAUUGUGCUGAUAAUGUGUAUUCAAGUCUUGUGGUGAACAGGAGGAAAAAUAUAUCAUCUUACAUUUGCACAGGUUAUUUAUUUGUUAUAAAGCAGCUUCA
rnacentral:lncRNA from 1 species